rnacentral:lncRNA from 1 species
GAUGGCUGAGGAAGAGCAAAAUUUCAACUUGACAAUCACAGAUGACUGCUGAAGCAGAUACAACCACUGAGGCAAAAAUCUGAUUGCAAGGAACCUGAACUCCCUGACUUGAACACCUGCAAAGGACAGGGAUUAGGGCCCUUAGGUACACUACUCUGCACCCAGGAGUUACAAAUCACUAACACUCUGAACUGUGACUUUUCUGGCGUCCCAUUCAGAUGAUUUUUAUGAUGUAUGUGGUUUUUAUUUGCUCUGUGGGCUUGCACAAGCCAUCCUAAGACCUUCAUGGUAAAAUUUCAAUCCUGUCUCAAAUUGACAGUUUAAACCCUUAAUAAAGCCUUAUAUUUUAAAGCACACAUACACACACACACAUACAUGUCAGGCCUCUGAACCCAAGCCAAGCCAUCGCAUCCCCUGUGACUUGCAUGUAUAUGCCCAGAUGGCCUGAAGUAACUGAAGAAUCACAAAAGAAGUGAAAACGCCCUGCCCCGCCUUAACUGAUGACAUUCCACCAUUGUGAUUUGUUCCUGCCCCACCUUAGCUGAGUGAUUAACCCUGUGAAUUUCCUUCUCCUGGCUCAGAAGCUCCCCGACUGAGCACCUUGUGACCCCCGCCCCUGCCCACCAGAGAACAACCCCCUUUGACUGUAAUUUUCCAUUACCUUCCCAAAUCCUAUAAAACGGCCCCACCCCUAUCUCCCUUCGCUGACUCUCUUUUCGGACUCAGCCCGCCUGCACCCAGGUGAAAUAGACAGCCAUGUUGCUCACACAAAGCCUGUUUGCUGGUCUCUUCACACUGACUCGAGUGAAAUUUGGUGCCGUGACUAGGAUCGGGGGACCUCCCUUGGGAGAUCAAUCCCCCGUCCUCCUACACUUUGCUCUGUGAGAAAGAUCCACCUACAACCUCAGGUCCUCAGACCAACCAGCCCAAGAAACAUCUCACCAAUUUCAAAUCCGUGAUAGAUCACAACAAGAGAUCAUGAAGAGGGCAUGGCCGCCAUGUCAUUCUGGAGAGAGACAGAGUAAAACAAAGAAGGUGAUGGAGUCUUGUUCUGCAACCCAGGCUGGAGUGGAGGGCAGUGGUGUGAUCUCGGCUCACUUCAACCUCCGCCUCUUAGGUUCAAGUGAUUCUCCUGCCUCAGCCUCCCGAGUAGCUGGGACUACAGCAGCCUCUCUACAAGUCUCCUAACUUAACCUGAUGGGAAAACACUUCCUACCACUAACAGCAUCUACUUGAUUACUGAUACUUUGAUCAUGGAGUUUGGGCAUGCCACUUGAUAGAAAUUUGAAGAGCAAUUAUAUUUUUCAAAAAGAGUUUUGAAUAAUGUUAAGAUAGAUUGCAACAUGACUAUCAAUUCUUCCCUUCCCAUCAAAGGAGAGAGUCCGUUUAUCCAGCCUUUGAAUCUUGAUUAUUCAUGUGACUUGCUUCACCCAAUGUAACAUUAAUAAGCACAAUACAAGCAGAGGCUUGCCAAGAACUUGGUUUGUUUCUAAUGCUUAGAAGAAGAAUGGUGUAUGCCAUAUUUCUGCAUUUAGAACUCACGUGGAGACAUGUGUGGCCCAAUUGCUUCUCUUUCAUCUCAGGCAAUAACCAGACACGGGACUGAGGCCAUCCAUGACCAGCCAGCCCUAGCCAACACACAACACACAAGCUGAUCACAGAUGCAUGAGUAAGCCUGAGACCAGCCAAGACCAGCCUAGAAUAGAACUGCUCAGCAGCAAUAAAAACUAAAUAAAUUGUUACCUUAAGCUACUUUUAGAGCUAUUUGGAAGUGUAUUUUUGUGCAGCUAACAUUUACUAGCAGAUAAAAUGGUGAUUGUUUAUCUCUGUUUUAUUGAUGUUUUAAGGAAAUUGUUUCUAUUAAAAGGAAAUAUCUGGUCUUUGUCACGUUAAAUCAGGUUUAGCCUGAAGUUGUCUCCUUAAAUUUGCGGCACAACUCCCACCCUGCAAUACUUCAAAUUGUUUCACCUUUUUUGACAGAACCAAGGUAUAUCUUAAAUGUACUUGAUUGAUGUCUCAUGUCUCCCUAAAAUGUAUAAAACCAAACUGUGCUCUGACUACCUUGGGUACAUGUUCUGAGGGUCUCCUGAAGGCUGUGUCACAGGCCAUGGUCUUUCAUAUUUGGCUUAAAACAAAUCUCUUCAAAUAUUUUAUGUAGUUUGACUCUUUUCCUCAAUAGAACUCAUCAUUUAACCAGUUAAGUAUUUUGAGUUAGUUUGGGAUUAAACACGAGAGUUUUGACAGGGAGCUGAAACAAUAGUAGUUUCAUCAAAAGUUGAUUCUUGGUGCAUGUAAUUUUCUAUUACAGUGAACACAGAUAAUAAUGAUGCAUAUGUCUUUACCUAGAUUAGAGAAAGGAAGAGAAAAAAUAAAAAUUUUGGAAAUGAGAUAAAAAGAUAUUGAUCUCACUGAUGUUUCUGAAUCUAAGACUGAACUCAAUUAUUAGUUGUAUUUACUGCUUAUUAGAUUUACUAAGAAAGUUCUUUAAGGUACUUACAGCCCUAAAAUUAUUUGCAAUAUUCAAUAGCAAGGGACUUAAAUACAGUCCUGAUUACUCCAUCACAAAAUGCCAAAAACAAUUAGGAUCUUAAAGGAACUACCCAAAUAGGUUUAAGAUAUCACUCAGGCCAUAAAAAUGUUUUUAAAAUUCACAUCACAAAAUAGCCAAAUGACAUAUCAGAAACAAAAGCAAAAAAGUCAUCCUAAUUCAAGGCAAUUACUUUAGCAAUUCAAAAUAAAAUGUUAAAAGUGACCAAAAAACAAAUGCAAAAUAUUUUAAUGACUUUAAAUGGCUGUAUAAUUUCCUCAUCACUUCACUUGGCAGAGUUAAGAUGGCAUUUAACCUAAGUUCACAUCAUUAAAAAAAACACUGCACCAUGAUGCUUUUCUUAAUAUGCAUUCUCAAAUUAGCAUACAGAGAAAAAUGAAACUAUAGUAGAGACGUAAAUUUAAUCCCUAUUUAGGUCACUAGGCAUUUAUUAGCCCCACCACAGGUUAAUACACUUGCAUUUGCAUCUGUUUCUAAAUGCUAAUUAUCUGACCUCAGAACACUCACUUAUGGGCUUCAUUUAUUGAAAAACAAAUCCCUAUGAUUUGAUCGUAGAGUAACUUUUAAUGUCUAACUUUACGUAGUAUAUUACAGUUUUCAAAACAUUUUUAUAAAAAGUAUUUUGUUUAUUUACAGCAACUAUAUAUCAUAGAUAUUAAUGUGUAUAUUUUGCAUUUAAGCAAGUUGGAGUUCGUAAGGUUGAAUUACUUGAAAUGUACAAAUAGAUAGUAGUGAAUAUUUAAAGUACAUUUUUAAAAAUAUGACCCAGAAAAAUAGGUGGCAUUUAAGAAAUAUAAGCAUGGUAUCUAUCUUACAUGUAUAUUAGGAGUGGACAGUUUUCUAAGAUUAGAAGCAAACAGUUGUCAAGCAAGGGUUCUAAUUUUUGUAAGUCUUGUGGGAAAGAAAGAUAAUAGAGGGUUUCAUUGCAAAGAUAUAAAACUACUCUAGAUAAUUUAAGCAAAAACUAAUCUAAUAAAUUGGGUUUUCCAAAUUAUUGAAACACCUUGAGAACUAGUGCCUGGGUAGGCCUGGAGAAAUGACUCCAGGAACAGCAUUACAGAACUCACCUGCCCAGUGGUAACAGUGCCCAGAUUGCUCUUCUCCAUUAUCCAGCCAGAGUUCCAGAUCAGCCUGAAUACUUCACCUCUGGGAAGACUUUGCAGAACCUCCAGAUUUAUGCCACCUCUAUAACCUGUGUAAUAUUAUUACAAUGCAUAUUAUGUUCUAUUUCACUUACAGUCAGCCCUCCUUAUCUGUGGGUUCCACAAACAUGGAUUCAACCCACAGUAAAAUGAAAAUAUUUGGGGAAAAAAUUAAUGUUUGAGUCUGUAUUGAACACGUAGACUUUUUCUUGUCACUGUUCCCUAAACAAUACAGUAUAACAACUAUUUACAUAGUAUUUACAUUAUAUUGGGCAUUAUAAGUAAUUAAAGAUGAUUUAAGUAUAUGGAAAGAUGUAUAUAGGUUAUAUGCAAGUACUGUGCCAUUUUAUAUAAAGCACUUGAACAUCACAGAUUUUGGUAUCAAUGAGGGGUGCUGAAACCAAUUGCCCAUGGAUACCAAGAGACAGCUAUAUUUGUUUCAAUGUGUACCUCUCCUUCUAAACUCAGUUCUUAAGCAUAUAGUAUCUUUAUAGCUAUACACCUAGUGUCUAUCAGACCCUAAACUAUGGUAGGCCCUCAAUACAUUUUAUUGUUAUAGGUAGAUAGAUAGGCAUGAGUAGGGCAGGAGAGGGCUCUCCCUCCACCCACUAGAAAUGUCAAGUGAUGUUUUAAAAAUUGUCACACUGCCUCUCAGAAAAUGAUAAUUCAGCAACCGGGGAGAGACAAUCUUCUGAUGGUCCACACCUAUUAACAUUAAAGUGUUAUUAAAGGCAGACCCCAGAAAGAAGAAACUUACUGGGCAUGCACAUUAAGAGAUAAAAACGGCAAAAUAUUAUCUUCCACGUACCCACAACUGGAAAAAAGGAAGAAAGCUUCAGGUGGGCAUAUGUACUCUUCCUAAACACACUGCGCAUGCUCACUUCCCAACUGUAGAGAGGGCUCUGCACAUACGGGAAGAAUCUCGGGAAAGAGGUGAACCUAUAAAAGGCCAAGAAUCAUGGUUGAACGGGACAUUUGACCUUCUCUCUUAAACCUUCAUGUGCCUGCUUGGGUCUCUUCCAACUGCACCUUCCUUUCUUUCCUGUUCUAAGGCCUUUUUAAAUAAACUUCCACUCAUGCUCUG